UGCACUGAAAAAACCUCCCUCUAAAUGGGUGAUAAAAUUAACUAACCUCAUUGUUAAUACAGGCGUGAAAUCAUAAAGGCCGAGAACAAAGAUAUUACAGUAACACUAGUAGUAAAAUGAGGAGAGCCAUAGAAUUGCCCUUGCCACAUAUUCUAGAUGGGUUGUUGCCAGAUUCACAGGUUCAGGCCAUUGAAGAGCUUCAAGGCAAUUUUAAAGGAAGACUUGGAUAGUUCCCAACUUGUUGGUGAGUCCUCAAGUCUGAGGAUGAAGCCUACUAUUCUAGCUAUGCUAUUUGAUUAGUCUAAAGACAUUCUUCACUUGCUAUAUUGUAAGACUAUGUUGUAUUCUCUUAUGAGACUUAUUGUAAUGAUGUAAGGGUUAUGUCCCAAAUCUUGUACUCCUAUGUUAGAUGGUUUUGUGUGA